rnacentral:lncRNA from 1 species
AUGCCCUUUAUUUCUUUCUCUUGUCUGAUUAUUCUGGCUAGGAUUUCCAGUACUAUAUUGAAUAGCUGUGAUAAAAGUGGGUAUCCUUGUGCUUGUUCCAGUUCUCAGGGGGAAUGCUUUCAACCUUUCCCUGUUCAGUAUAAUGUUGACUGAGGGUUUGUCAUAGAUGGUUAUUACCUUGAGGCAAGUCCCUUCUCUGCCGAUUUUGCUUAGGGUUUUAAUCAUAAAGGGAUGCUGGAUUUUGUCAAAUGCUUUUUCAGCAUCUAUUGAGAUGAUCAUAUGAUUUUUGUUUUUAAUUCUGUUUAUGUGAUGUAUCACAUUUAUUGACUUGCAUAUGUUAAACCAUCCCUGCAUCCCUAGAAUAAAACCCACUUUAUCAUGAUGUGUUAUCUUUUCGAUAUGCUGUUGGUUUUGCUUAGCCAGUAUUUUGUUGAGGAUUUUUGCAUCUAUGUUCAUUAGGGAUAUUGGUCUGCAUUUUUGUUGUUGUUGUUAUGUCUUUUCCUGGUUUGGGUAUUAGCGUGAUACUGGCUUCAUAGAGUUUUGGUUUUUUUUUGUUUUUUGUUUUUUUUGGACAAAGUUUCACUCUUGUUGCCCAAGCUGGAGUGCAGUGGUGCAAUCUUGGCUCACUGCAAUCUCUGCCUCCCAGGUUCAAGCAAUUCUUCUGCCUCAGCCUCAUGAGUAGCUGGGAUUACAGGCGCCUGCCACUACACCCAGCUAAUUUUUGUAUUUUUAGUAGAGAUGGGGUUUCACCAUGUUGGCCAAGCUGGUCUUGAACUCCUGACCUCAAGUGAUCUGCCUGCCUUGGCCUCCCAAAGUGCUGGGAUUACAGGCAUCAGCCACUGUACCCGGCCUUCAUAGAAUUAUUUAGGGAGGAUUUCCACUUUCUCUUUUAGAAUAAUUUCAGUAUGAUCAGUACCAAUUCUUCUUCAAAUGCCUGAUAGAAUUCAUCUGUGAAUCCAUCUAGACCUGGACUUUUUUUUUUUUUUUGAGACGGAGUCUCGCUCUGUCACCCAGGCUGGAGUGCAGUGGCCGGAUCUCAGCUCACUGCAAGCUCCGCCUCCCAGGUUUACGCCAUUCUCCUGCCUCAGCCUCCCGAGUAGCUGGGACUACAGGCGCCCGCCACCUCGCCCGGCUAGUUUUUUUUUUGUAUUUUUUUAGUAGAGACAGGGUUUCACCGUAUUAGCCAGGAUAGUCUCGAUCUCCUGACCUCGUGAUCCGCCCGUCUCGGCCUCCCAAAGUGCUGGGAUUACAGGCUUGAGCCACCGCGCCCAGCCUAGACCUGGACUUUUUUUUUUUGCUGUUGGCAUUUUUUUUCUCAUUACUGUUUCAAUCUCACUACUUGUUAUUGGUCUGUUCAGAAUUUCUAUUUCUUCCUGAUUUAAUCUAGG